rnacentral:rRNA from 1 species
UACAGAGGUCCCAAGCGUUGUUCGGAUUCACUGGGCGUAAAGGGCGCGUAGGCGGCUUGAUAAGUCAAAGGUGAAAUCCCUCGGCUCAACUGAGGAACUGCCUUUGAAACUGUCUGGCUUGAGGCCGGGAGGGGGUAGCGGAAUUCCCAGUGUAGUGGUGAAAUACGUAGAUAUUUGGAGGAACACCGGUUGCGAAGGCGGCGAUCUGGUCUAGUACUGACGCUCAUACACGAAAGCGUGGGGAUCAAACAGG